rnacentral:rRNA from 1 species
UACGAAGGGGGCUAGCGUUGCUCGGAAUCACUGGGCGUAAAGCGCACGUAGGCGGAUUGUUAAGUCAGGGGUGAAAUCCUGGAGCUCAACUCCAGAACUGCCUUUGAUACUGGCGAUCUCGAGUCCGGGAGAGGUGAGUGGAACUGCGAGUGUAGAGGUGAAAUUCGUAGAUAUUCGCAAGAACACCAGUGGCGAAGGCGGCUCACUGGCCCGACACUGACGCUCAUGUACGAAAGCGUGGGGAGCAAACAGG